rnacentral:rRNA from 1 species
ACCGGAGGGGACGACCCGCUGGUGUUCGGGUUGUUAUGCCAAUAGCAUUGCCCGGUAGCUACGUUCGGAAUCGAUAACCGCUGAAAGCAUCUAAGCGGGAAGCGAGCCUCAAGAUGAGUUCUCACUGGAGAUUUAAUCUCCCUAAAGGGCCGUAGGAGACUACUACGUUGAUAGGCAAGGUGUGUAAGCGUUGUGAGGCGUUGAGCUAACUUGUACUAAUGACCCGUGAGGCUUAACCAUACAACACCUAAUGUGUUU